GCGAGUUCUGUCGAUAAAGAAGGUCGAGGAAGACCCGACGAAGCUUACUUGCCGUUGUAAGGUAGCCAAGUGCUGUACCUGCCUGGCGAACACCCUAAAUUCUGUCUCUUCGUAUCCAAAUGCCAUUGAGAGGCUCGACAGAAUGCAGCUAAUCAACAGCACCCAAUGCCAACUCUUUAGAUAUUCUAAUCGAAUGGUGAGAAUCAACCAUCUCUGUUAUAAAACCUUCACGACCCCAAAGUGCAGAAUGCGAUUUUGCGACAAAGGGAUACGAACCAUGGACCCUCAAGUUCACAGACCUUCAUACAAGCUGUUAGGCAACGCCAAAGAAGAAUAGAAAACAAAGCAUUUAUGAGACAUUUACUCAGCUUUACCUUACGCACAUGUGAGCUAUACGACCUCGUCAGGAGCCCCUGGGUUCAGUUAUAGCCAUCCUUAAUUCUGAACUAUUCAUUAGAGGAAAGGCAGCCAGGCUGUAGCUCUCAUCGUUACUAGAACUUAAUUCAGUUUUUUGAACAGAACAGCGUUAUUGGUUGCCACUUCUAUAAUGCACCCAUAGCUGAAAGUGCAAACCAUGUUUAGCAGCAUCACGUAUCGAACUUUCGAUUCGUAACCCGACUCGUUAACCACUGUGCCACGCCGGCCCAGGUCAAUUUAGGGAAAGUUCCCCCCCCCCCAGUAUAUAUUAAAGUGUUUUUACACUUCAGACUAAUAUGGUCAAAUGAUCUUUGUUU